GACGGAGGGUGCAAGCGUUGUUCGGAAUUACUGGGCGUAAAGCGCGGGCAGGUGGCUCUUUAAGUCCUUUGUGAAAUUCCGGGGCUCAACUCCGGAUGUGCAUAGGAUACUGGAGAGCUAGAGACUGGUAGAGGCGAGCGGAAUUCCUGGUGUAGCGGUGGAAUGCGUAGAUAUCGGGAGGAACACCAGUGGCGAAGGCGGCUUCCUGGCCUGUUCUUGACGCUGAGGCGCGAAAGCUAGGGGAGCGAACGGG
rnacentral:rRNA from 1 species